GGGCAGGUCAGGGGUCAGGGGUCAGAGGUCGGAGGUCGGGGCCGCGCUCAGCACUCACAGCGCCACGGUCCCAACCGACGACCUUCUCGACCCGCGGGGCGCAGCGGACCAGCCGCUUCUCCACCUUUUCGCGGGUCCCGCUCCCUGCUCCUGUCCCCCCAAACCCCCGCCCACAGCUCCCGGCAGCCCCCGCGCCAGCGCGUAACAGGACCACAACUCCCGCCAUGCCCCGGGGCGCAGGGCGCCGGGACCCGUGGCCCACAAGGCUUUGCGCGGCGGCGCGGCCCCUCUAGCCCGCGGUCCUCCGAGCUCGCGGCUGGCUCGCCACGUGGUCGGUCUCCUCGCGUUCCCACGGGGGGGCGCCCGGGCUGCGCUUGUCUGGGGCGCCUGACGCCCGACGCCCGACGCCAGUCACGGCAGCGCCAGCGACCGGGGCGCCCGAUCUCACUUUGUGGCCCAGGCUGGAGAGCAGCGGCGCGAUCUUGGCUCACCGCCACCUCUUCCUCCCAAGAGCUCAAGCGAUCCUCCCGCCUCGACCUCCCAAAGUGUUGGUGCUACAGACACGCGUCACGCGCCGGCCAGCGGAUCUUUAUUGAGUGCCUGCUGCAUGCCAAGCGUUGUUUCCGGUGCCAAGGAGACAGCAGAGUGCAAGGUGGGCAGACCUCAGCCCCCGGGUCUGCUGCGGGGGUCGGGGUGUUGGAGGGGAGGCCCCGGCUGUGUCGGUCUCCUCCCGUUCCCACUGUGGGGCGCCGGGGCUGCUCACAUUCUAGGGAGCGGAUGGGAAGAGAGACCCAAAGCCGGGCUAAUUAUUAUGCCACGAACCCGGGCCUGAUCCGGGCUCAUUAUUAUGCCACGAACCCGGGCCUGAUCCGGGCUCAUUAUUAUGCCACGAACCUGUACCUGAUCCGGGCUAAUUAUUAUGCCACGAAUCCGGGCCUGAUCCGGGCUAAUUAUUAUGCCACGAACCUGUACCUGAUCCGGGCUAAUUAUUAUGCCACGAAUCCGGGCCUGAUCCGGGCUAAUUAUUAUGCCACGAACCUGUACCUGAUCCGGGCUAAUUAUUAUGCCACGAACCCGGGCCUGAUACCAAGGCAGUGUGCGCUGAGAAAUGACGGACCACUGGCUCUCCACUGCGGCGCACGCCGCCCCCUGCUUGGUAAAUGCUUCCAUCGCUGCUGCGAGCGUGAGCGAACCAGCAGUGCCCAGAUCCCUGCAGACUUCACGGUAUCAUCAGCUCCAGCCGCCACUGCACUGGCAGAGGGGUGCAAAGUGCUGCUGGACAAAGGAAAAGGCAGGGAAGGGGGACAGGGGUGCGGAUGGGCAGGUUGUAGAAUCAAAUCGGUGGUCCAGAUAGGCCGGGCGCCGUGGCUCACGCCUGUAAUCCCAGCACUUUGGGAGGCCGAGGCGGGUGGAUCACGAGGUCAAGAGAUCGAGACCAUCCUGGUCAACUUGGUGAAACCCCGUCUCUACUAA
rnacentral:lncRNA from 13 species